rnacentral:rRNA from 1 species
AUGAACGCUAGCUACAGGCUUAACACAUGCAAGUCGAGGGGAAACGAUAUUGGAAGCUUGCUUCCGAUAGGCGUCGACCGGCGCACGGGUGAGUAACGCGUAUCCAACUUGCCCAUCACUUGGGGAUAACCUUGCGAAAGUAAGACUAAUACUCAAUGAUAUCUCUAGAAGACAUCUGAAAGGGAUUAAAGAUUUAUCGGUGAUGGAUGGGGAUGCGUCUGAUUAGCUUGUUGGCGGGGUAACGGCCCACCAAGGCGACGAUCAGUAGGGGUUCUGAGAGGAAGGUCCCCCACAUUGGAACUGAGACACGGUCCAAACUCCUACGGGAGGCAGCAGUGAGGAAUAUUGGUCAAUGGGCGAGAGACUGAACCAGCCAAGUAGCGUGCAGGAAGACGGCCCUAUGGGUUGUAAACUGCUUUUAUAAGGGAAUAAAGUGAGUCUCGUGAGACUUUUUGCAUGUACCUUAUGAAUAAGGACCGGCUAAUUCCGUGCCAGCAGCCGCGGUAAUACGGAAGGUCCGGGCGUUAUCCGGAUUUAUUGGGUUUAAAGGGAGCGUAGGCCGGAGAUUAAGCGUGUUGUGAAAUGUAGAUGCUCAACAUCUGAACUGCAGCGCGAACUGGUUUCCUUGAGUACGCACAAAGUGGGCGGAAUUCGUGGUGUAGCGGUGAAAUGCUUAGAUAUCACGAAGAACUCCGAUUGCGAAGGCAGCUCACUGGAGCGCAACUGACGCUGAAGCUCGAAAGUGCGUGUAUCGAACAGGAUUAGAUACCCUGGUAGUCCGCACGGUAAACGAUGGAUGCCCGCUGUUGGUCUGAAUAGGUCAGCGGCCAAGCGAAAGCAUUAAGCAUCCCACCUGGGGAGUACGCCGGCAACGGUGAAACUCAAAGGAAUUGACGGGGGCCCGCACAAGCGGUGGAGCAUGUGGUUUAAUUCGAAGCAACGCGAAGAACCUUACCAGGUCUUGACAUCGAUCUAAAAGGGAUGGAGACAUCCUCAUAGCUAUAGAGAAGACAGGUGGUGCAUGGUUGUCGUCAGCUCGUGCCGUGAGGUGUCGGCUUAAGUGCCAUAACGAGCGCAACCCCUCUCCUUAGUUGCCAUCAGGUCAAGCUGGGCACUCUGGGGACACUGCCACCGUAAGGUGUGAGGAAGGUGGGGAUGACGUCAAAUCAGCACGGCCCUUACGUCCGGGGCUACACACGUGUUACAAUGGCAGGUACAGAGAGACGGUCCUUUGCAAAACGGAUCAAAUCCUUAAAGCCUGUCUCAGUUCGGACUGGGGUCUGCAACCCGACCCCACGAAGCUGGAUUCGCUAGUAAUCGCGCAUCAGCCAUGGCGCGGUGAAUACGUUCCCGGGCCUUGUACACACCGCCCGUCAAGCCAUGAAAGCCGGGGGCGCCUAAAGUCCGUGACCGUAAGGAGCGGCCUAGGGCGAAACUGGUAAUUGGGGCU